GACAUGUCGAUAUGUCGUUUCUAGAAUUUUGUUGCUUCUGUUAGAACCCAUAUUAUCAAUUUGACACCAUGCAAAUGUUGCGACUAACAGGUUACAUGCUUGUUUCUGACUUUUUAGGUUUCGACUUUGAACAUUUGAACAAAUUAUACACUGGAUAUUGCUUGUAUUAUAAUAGAAGGCUCUUUUGGACGACAAAAAGGGGUGCUGCUACUACUGCAAAGACCGUUUGAUAAAAAACAAGUAGUGGUCGAUCGACACUUUGGGAUGAGCGUGCAUGUGUGGAAGGAAAGAAAAGGACAACGCUCAAACAAAAGGACAACACUCACAAGGAACCAUGAAGCCAGCGAUCGUGUCAUCUGGAUAUUUAGCCUUCAUUUUGUACAACUCAUGUCUCAUACUAGCAUCUUUUAGCUGUCCUUUUUGUGAACAUGAUGUAUGGUGUCCUGGUGGUUAUGCUUGGAACAGACUAAAGCCUGUGUAUGUGACAAUUAAUUAAUGGAAUAAAAAAAAUGUUUGCUGCACCUAA